rnacentral:pre_miRNA from 1 species
UCAUUUGGAGGAUCAAAGAAAGUGGUUUCUUAGGAUGGAAGCUACUCUUAGUGAAGAUGUUGUGAA